AUGGAGUAUUACAUGGAAAUUAAAAUUUUCUCUUCCUGUCAACCUCUUAUCCAUUCUGCAAAUAUAUCCAUGGCAAAGAGUAUUUUUGGCCAGGUGCUAUGGCUCGUGCCUGUAAUCCUAGCACUUUGGGAGGCCAAGGCAGGCAGAUCACCUGAGGUCAGGAGUUCAAGACCAUCCUGGCCAACAUGGUGAAACUCCAUCUCUACUAAAAGUACAAAAAUUAGCUGGGCAUGGUGGUGCAUGCCUGUAAUCUCAGCUACUCGGGAGGCUGGGGCAGGAGAAUUGCUUGAACCCAGGAGAUGGAGGUUGCAGUGAGCCGAGAUUGCGCCACUGCACUCCAAUCUGGAUGACAGAGUAAGACUCCAUCUCAAAAAAACAAUAAAAUAAAAAAUAAAAUAAAAUAUACUAUUAUGGGAAAACAAGGUUGAGAAGACUGAAUUACUCAGUUUGCUGGCUAUAAAUUUUUUUUUAUUUGUACAAAUUUAUUACAUGUAUAUUUAUUACCGAAUAUUAUAUGUAUAUAAUAUGUAGUGGUUAAGUCAGGGUAUUUAGGGUGUCCGUCACCUGAGUGAAAAACAGUUUUGGGGUUUUCUGUUUCUUUUUUUAUAGAGACAAGAUUUCAGUAGGUUGCCCAGGCUGGUCUCAAACUCCUGGGCUCAAGCAAUCCUCCAGCCUUAGUCUCCCAAAGUGCUGUGAUUACAGGCAUAAGCCACCAUGCCCAGCCCAAGUACAAAACAUUUUUGUUAAGUGUAGUCACCCUACUGUGCUGUCAAACAUUUUAUGUAUUCCUUCUGUCUUACUGUCUGUUUUUACCCUUUAACCCCCUUCUCUUCGUCCUCCCCUUACCCCUGCCUCACCCCUCCCAGUCCCUGUUCUCUAUUUUCCACUCUUUACCUCCAUGUGAUCCCAUUUUUUAGCUCCCACAUAUAAGUGAGGACAUGCGAUACUUGUCUUUUUGUGCCUGGCUUAUUUCACUUCUGAUAAUAACCAGUUCCUGGAUGUGAUACAUUUUUACUUCAGUUCUUCAUUUCACUUGGCAAACUAUACUUGGCCCUUUUUUAAUGGAUUUAUCUGUACUAAACAGCAGUUGCUUUAAACAGCAAUUUUUAAAAAAUGUUAUUAGAAAAACAUUUCAUGCCUACUAUAAAAACAUUUCUAAAAUAGGAGAGUAUAGUGUUCAAAGUCAAAGUCUCCUCCGCCUUAAUUUCACUCCGCAGAAAUCAACCACGUUCACAGCAUGGUGUAUAUAGGAUCAAAGAUUCCAAAUUGAGAUAAUAUGAGAGUGAGCCUGCCAAGUAGGAAUGGCAGUGAACUGCAAGUGCCCACCUGAGGGGCACAGCCUCUACUCAGGGCCAGAAGAUCAUUGCCACAUGGGAAUAUGGGCCUAGGGUUACUACAUUUUACAUUUUUUUUCCAGCUAGAAAUUCAGAUUUUUAUGUGAAAUAUCCUGAUAUUUAACUGUUGACAAUUAAUUCAAACUUUGACAGGAUUAAUCCAAGCACUUCUGAGCUGCCAGUCUGAAACCUUUGCACCAGAUUUUCUCACUUCAUAUAUAGUUACUUCAAGUGUGUGUGUGUGCACGCGCGUACGUGCGCACGCACACGUGCAUGUGUAUACGUACAAAAUGGGCUGCACUAGUCUAGGAUACAGAUGUGCAGGUGCCUCACUGCACAGCCAACCUUCAGG
ensembl:lncRNA